rnacentral:rRNA from 1 species
CAUGCAAGUCGAACGAAGUAGCAAUACUUAGUGGCAGACGGGUGAGUAACAUGUAGGUAUCUGCCCUUUGGCCUGGAAUAACACGAGGAAACUUGUGCUAAUACCGGAUAAGUCUUUACGGAGAAAGCUUUAUGCACCAUUGGAUGAGCCUGCACUUGAUUAGUUUGUUGGUGGGGUAAUGGCCUACCAAGACUGUGAUCAAUAGCUGAUUUGAGAGGAUGAUCAGCCACAUUGGGACUGAGACACGGCCCAAACUCCUACGGGAGGCAGCAGUGGGGAAUCUUGCACAAUGGAGGAAACUCUGAUGCAGCAAUGCCGCGUGAGUGAAGAAGGCCCUUGGGUUGUAAAGCUCUUUCGUCGGGGAAGAAAAUGACUGUACCCGAAUAAGAAGGUCCGGCUAACUUCGUGCCAGCAGCCGCGGUAAUACGAAGGGACCUAGCGUAGUUCGGAAUUACUGGGCUUAAAGAGUUCGUAGGUGGUUGAAAAAGUUGGUGGUGAAAUCCCAGAGCUUAACUCUGGAACUGCCAUCAAAACUUUUCAGCUAGAGUAUGAUAGAGGAAAGCAGAAUUUCUAGUGUAGAGGUGAAAUUCGUAGAUAUUA